rnacentral:lncRNA from 1 species
GACCAAAGUCAGCAUUACCUUAAAGGAUCACUAUAGGGUCAGGAAAACAAACAUGAAUUCAUGACCCUAUAGUGUUAACACCACCAUCUAGCCCCCCUGGUCCCCUCAUGUCUUCAUAAAUGUAGCAAAAUCUUACUAUAUUCAAGCCCGAAGCUGUAACUCUGCAUGCUAGACUCAUAAAAACAAGCAGUCUGCUGACAUCAUUAGAAGUGGUGGCCUGAUCCAAUCAUAGUGCUUCCCCAUAGGAUUGGCUGAGACUGACAAAGAGGCAGAUCAGGGUCAGAGCCAGCAUGAUUCAAACACAGCCCUGGCCAAUCAGCAUCUCCUUAUAUAGAUGAAUUUAAUUAAUGAAUCUCUAUGAGGAAAGUUCCGUGUCUGCAUGCAGAGGGAGGAGACACUGGAUGUUUGGAUGCAUUUUAGGCAGCCAUGACCCAGGAAGGAUCUCUAACAGUCAUCUAAGGAGUGGCCAGUGAAGUUAUCACUAGGAUGUAAUGUAAAGACUGCAUUUUCUCUGAAAAGAUAGUGUUUACAGCAAAAAGCCUGACGGUAAUGAUUCUACUCACCAGAACAAAUUCAAUAAGCUGUAGUUGUUCUGGUGACUUUAGUGUCCCUUUAACUAUAUUCAUUGUCACCCAGUCCACACAAGUUUUGUUCCCAUACAUCCCACUUAAGUUUCCAUACUUAAGUAAGAGUAUGUGAAAAGUAGUUAGGGUUGCCACCUUUCUUGGAAAAAAAAGGAGUGACAUAAGAGAAAAUGCUGUAAAAUCACCCAAAAAACUAUUAGUUUGAUUCUGCUGUAUAGAUGGAUUCCUCCCAGUGCCCC